GAUGAACGCUGGCGGCGUGCUUAACACAUGCAAGUCGAACGGAAAGGCUCCUGCUUGCAGGGGUACUCGAGUGGCGAACGGGUGAGUAACACGUGGGUGAUCUGCCCUGCACUUCGGGAUAAGCCUGGGAAACUGGGUCUAAUACCGGAUAGGACGAUGGCUUUGAUGCCAUUGUGGAAAGUUUUUCGGUGUGGGAUGAGCUCGCGGCCUAUCAGCUUGUUGGUGGGGUAAUGGCCUACCAAGGCGUCGACGGGUAGCCGGCCUGAGAGGGUGUACGGCCACAUUGGGACUGAGAUACGGCCCAGACUCCUAGGGGAGGCAGCAGUGGGGAAUAUUGCACAAUGGGCGCAAGCCUGAUGCAGCGACGCCGCGUGGGGGAUGACGGCCUUCGGGUUGUAAACUCCUUUCGCUAGGGACGAAGCGCAAGUGACGGUACCUGGAGAAGAAGCACCGGCUAACUACGUG
rnacentral:rRNA from 1 species